rnacentral:rRNA from 1 species
AUUGGGUCGCUUCCUCGCUAUAGCACACAGGGCGGUAGCGAAUAUGCGUCCCACCCCGUGUGAAGGUGAGGAGUGUGCGGGUAGAGUCCCCAGGCAAGGGACUAAGGUGGCGGGAGGAAGGUGCGUCUCUCAGUGAAUUUCGAGGUUCUGGGUUACCAAAGUCGAUUUUAAAGCCACAGUAAUUUUUAACAGAUCCAGUGACGGAUGUGGGAGGGAUCCAAAGUGCUGGGCAGCUGUUGGUGGGUUUGUGGGCAGACCCCCUUCGUCUCGUGGCACGUGGUGCUAGGUUGAGCUGCAGAGUAGACAGGUGCCAAGGUCUGCAGCCUAGGCGGAUGGGCUUGCUUGUCUAGAAUGCAUGAGGCGGUAUCUGAGAGAAGUAGGGUGACAAUAGGUUAGAGUCGGUGUCUUUUCAAGGGGGAUACAUCCUGGGUUGCUGAGGGGGAGUGGGAUGAAUCCUGGACCACCUGGGCGCUGAAUGAAGGCUAUUUCACAAAGCGCUCCGGACGCCAACCCUCGGCAGUCCAAGCGGUGAUUGGGUUCCUUGAUAAGACUGAGUAGCCCGCCAAGCGUGGAAAGGUCGGGACCUGCGUGCGCGGCAAGACCGGCACACCAUAGAACAUGACGGGUUGGCCCACGGCCUAAGGUAAUUGGGUAAUAUGCACGAGCGGAUCCACCUGGUAGCAAUACCCUAACCACGCGAGAAUGAUCGGCCCCGGGCCAGACCGGAGGAAAGGGGGGGGUCAAGUCCUCAUGCCCCAUGUAGGGCUUCACACGUCAUACAAUGUCGGUACAGAGGGUUCCCAAGCGCGAGGUGGAGCCAAUCCCAGAAAGCCGAUCGUGUCACGGAUUGUUCUCUCAACUCGAGAGCAUGAAGUCGGAAUCGCGAUCGCGAUGCUACUAUUAU